rnacentral:rRNA from 1 species
UGAAGAGGUCUGGAAAGACACACCACAGAAGGUAAUUGUCCUGUAUGUUAAACGAGAAGACUUUAGAUAUGAUCCAGAGUACCACGGGACACGUGAAAACCUGUGGGAAGCAGGAGGGACCACCCUCAAAGGCUAAAUACUACCUAGUGACCGAUAGCGUAUAGUACCGUAAGGGAAAAGUGAAAAGAACCCAGGGCGGGAAGUGAAAUAGAACCUGAAACCCUGCACUUACAAGCUGUGG